ACCUGGCGACAGGGAGCGGAACCCGAAAGCCUGUCUCAGUUCGGAUUGGAGUCUGCAACCCGACUCCAUGAAGCUGGAUUCGCUAGUAAUCGCGCAUCAGCCACGGCGCGGUGAAUACGUUCCCGGGCCUUGUACACACCGCCCGUCAAACCAUGAGAGUUGGCAACACCCGAAGUCGGUAGUCUAACCGCAAGGAGGACGCCGCCGAAGGUGGGGUUGAUGAUUAGGGUGAAGUCGUAACAAGGUAAC
rnacentral:rRNA from 1 species